rnacentral:lncRNA from 1 species
GUAGAGAGUUUAACAGAGAGUUAAGAACAAGAGUAUAUGUAUUUUAACUGUCAUACCAGCCAGUUUGGUUACUUAGAAUUAAAUGGAAACUGUAGCCACCAGAAAAAAAUUUUUCAGAGAAAAUGCAGUAUUUACAUUACAGUCUAGUGAUAACUGCACUGGCCACUCCUCAGAUGGCUACUAGAGGUGCUUUCUGGGGCCGUGCAGCACUGCAAUUAAGUGUCUCCACCCUCUGCAUGGAGACACUGAACUUUCCUCUUAGAGAUUCAUUGAUUUAAUUCAUCUCUAUGAGGAGAUGCUGAUUGGCCAGGGCUGUGUUUGAAUCAUGCUGGCUCUGCCCCUGAUCUGCCUCUUUGUCAGUCUCAGCCAAUUCUAUAGGAAAACAUUGUGAUUGGCUCAGAGAAUCACUUCUGAUGAUGUCAGCCAAGCAGGCAGAUCGGGAGCAGAGCCUGCAGCACCUGCAGACUUAAAUACAAGUAAGAUUUUACUAUAUUCAGGGAGGCAAGAGGGAGCCAGGGGGCUAGUCGGUGGUUUUAACACUAUAGUGUUCCUUUAAUAGAAGAAUUGUAUGUGUGUUAUUUACUAUAUCUAUCUGUUUUCUCAAUAUCAGCUGCUGGACAUAGUAAAAUAUUUCAACAGGUUUGAUCCACUAUAUUGCAAAAUUCCCUUUUGUGAAUAUUAGAGAUAAGGAUUGGCGUAAAACAUCUCCCAGCAUUUUGUCAUUUUUGCAGGAAAGUACUGAAAAUGUAGUUCAACAACAAAUAUGAGUCCAAUGCCUAAAUGCUCCUGACUGACACAUGGUCACAUUGUAAAUUUGCUGGGAUAAUUGUAAAGUUUUAGAAUUAUCAAGAAAAUUUGUGAUUUUACUAUUUCUGAUAACUGAGAAAGAUUUAUUAAGGUGCAACUUCAUCCAGAAAAUAAUUUAGACAGUUAACAUUUUACACAAUGUGUUGGGUCAACCCCCAUUUCUAUGGAUUUGUGUAGUUAUAAGUGUACCUGGGGACAAAACUGCAAAUUAUCCUUUUCCCCAAAAGUAAAAUACAAAUGGUUUGCAGAGUAUGAAUGGGAAAGGAUGGCGCAAACAUUAGGCUAAAUCGGCAUACUCCUAGGAUACUCUAAGGAAAAAAAAAAAAUGGCACAGUAGCCAAGGGACAUUUGGCCUUGUAGGCAAACAAUAUCAGCAGAAUAUGAAUAGAGUAACCUUGUUGUUGUUUUUUUUUUUUUUAGCAGAUUACACCUGAUAGUGCUAUUAAAGAAACACUCUAUGCACCAUAACAACUUAAUUUUAAUAAAGUUGUGAUUGUGCCCAGAUUGGUGCCUUUUAGCAAUGUUUGUGCAAGAACUGCCUUGUGUAUCGUCUGUUAAAAAAGCAAAAAACUGCAGUAUUUUAAUAUUCUUGGCAAUUUGAUUUCAGGUGUAUUAUGUUUGCUAAUUAUAGAGCUUUAAACUGAAGUUUGAAGUAAUUUACAUUUUAAAGUAUUUUCACCGAUAUAUUGUUCUUUAAUGUCUCCUUUCCAAAAAUAUAUAUUUUUAUGUUUUUUGUUAUAGUGACCUGUUUCUCCAUGAAUAAUGGUUAUAAUUAAAUACUAUAGUGUUAGAAAAACAAACAUGUAUUCCUAAAACUAGAGUGACCUACUCAAUGUUUAGGGUACCCUGUCCCCCUCCCCAUGUGAAGGUCAGCCCCAAUUCCCUAAAGCAUGCAGCCAGUCCAGAAUCCUUGGCUGAGAUCAUCAAUCCUGAUGAUCUCAGCCAAUCCAAUGCUUCACCCUACUAGAGCACAUGUGUGGCAAUUAAAUGUUUCUAAGAGACCAUCUGAUUGAAAUAGCCAAAUUUAACUCAGUGUGAUUGCCAUUACAUGCAUUUUAGCCCUGCAAUGUAAACAUUGCUGUAUCUACAAAACACCAAUGCCUUCAGUUGCAGGGUUAAAACAACCGAGGUAUGGCAAUUAAGUAAAGUGGUCUGGAUGCUUAUAGUGUCCCUUUAAGGAGUAGAAUCCCCAUUCUAGUAUUGUAUGAUACAAUAAAAAAAAAAAAAAGAAUAUUAGGACUCACUAGAAAUGAUACAAUGUUGACUUUGUAGAUUAAACUCAUUCUCUCCACAAAAGCUCAUUGCAGUUAUCUCCAAGAAGAAUAUUGUUGUCCCUUUGUUUUAUCAGUAAGAACUUUUCUAAGAAGGCAGCUCUGUCAUUGACAGGCAGUAGCACCCUGUGUCACGUGCAAGCAUGUUUUAUUAGGAUUUUAAUAAAAAUGUAGCUGUCCAUAAUAUAUCCAUAAGAACCAAUAUCUUACGUGUUUUAGAUAUCUGUGUUCUCCACUAUUUAUUUUCAAUGAAAUCAUAAAUGGCGUGUUGGAAUAAAUAGUGUUUUUGGAAUAGAGAGAUGACAUAUUUAUGAAAGUACUAUGAAAGUACUACUCACAUUUAUUAUAUAAUAGAGAAGAAUUAAUUAACGCAGUAUGUGACAAAAAAGAUGGCAAUUUUAGGGUCAGACUAACAAUCACAACUAUUUUUAUGUAUUUAGUGCUCCGUUCCCCAGGGGGUUAAAAACGUAACCGUAAGGCCAGCUUUAUUUAAGCUGAGCAAUUCCAAAAUUGGUCUUCCUUAACCUACAUUUUGGAGGAGUUCUUAUUUAAAAGUUGCGUUCUCAGAACCACCAGAUCUUCCAGACUCAUAUCACUCUGUUGAGCAGUGUAUGAAAAUUAAUACCCAAACUGUGUAGUAUUUCAAUAGUUAAUACCAAGAGAAAUAUUUUAACUAAAUAAAGUCCCCUUAAGGUCUGCUUUAAUUUGUUGAAUUAUCUACAUUCUGUAGUGGCAUCUCUUUUCAUGCUCUGCCCAUCAGCGCAAAAAAGUGACAUGUACCCUGAAUUCAUGGUAGAUCUGUCAGUGUAAAUUAAUACAGGAAGUCAAGUCACGGUACCCCGAAUCCAUGACUAGUGUGUCCCUAAUGGCUUGUUUCUAUUACAUACCCCAUAAUGCAAGAGGUAGCCUUUUAUCUAGUAUUUUAAGGUGCAAUAGAGUAAUUAAAAAAAAAGGCAAAUGUUUACAUUUAUACAGAAAUCAUUAAAAGCGCUGUAUACCAAUCGCUAUUUAUUAAAGAUGUUUCUGUAUACACCCAAGAGUUUCUUGAUAAUAACAAAAUCUUUUUUAAGUUAAAAAAAGAACAAAAAAAUAAUAAUUCACUACUGUAAUGUAAUGUAUAUACAGAUAAAUAUAUAUAAAAUAUCACUGCCUUAAUCAUAAGGAAUACCUACAGGGUUUUUCACUACAAUGAGAAAUCAAAGUGAAAUUCAAAUUUAAGGUUAAAAUAGUCGAGUUUGAAAAAUUCUCUCAGUAAGCUAUUGUAAUAGUUUGGCUACUCUGGCCUUAAAUUUGAGAUUCACGUUUAACUGUAACUUUAUUGAAUAACCCUGAUAAAUUCACUUCAUUGAACAGAGAGAAUUCUUUGGAGGUCGAAGCGGGUUGAAUAAAGUAUUGCUUUUAAAUGCUUUGGACACCUUCACGGCACUUUGAGGUACAGGGGGUGUGGUACAAUUUCUCAAGUAUCCAUGAAAGAGUUAAGCUUUGAUUAAAGAAAUUCAUAUCAAAACAAAAAUGCAUGCUUUCUUUUCAUAGAAUGUUUUUUUUUUAACUUGUCACGACAUCCGUUUAUGCUAGUUUAACCCCUUAAGGAC